GGUAACAAAAUGCACCGAGGAAAACGAUUUAGAGAUGUGGAGUUCCAGCAGUCUCAGGUGGGAUCUUCUUCUGCUCAGUCCAUUGAUAAGUGCUAAAUAAUGCAUAAACUAACAUCUUAUUCAUAGCACUUAUCAUUAUUUUAAUUCACAUAUUUUGUAAAUUUAACUAAAAAUUGUAUUACCUUCAUAAUUGCAUUUUAAUAAAUUAUCCAAGGUAAUUCGAAUUUUAUUUGAUUAUUUAUUGAUUAAGCUUAAUGCAUGCAGGUCGAGUCGAGCUCAAUUAGGUAAAGCCUAAACUGACACUGCAUCAUUUCACAACCUUCAGAGUCAACUCCAAGAACUCUUCUCCAAAAUCCAGUGCUUCCCAUUAAUUCCUGACUCUUCACACAUUCACCUAAAUUUCUUCCCACUCAUUCCAAUUCUCCUGUUUAACAUUAAAAAUAAUAUAAUCCCUUCGAUCAUUUGUCUCAUAGAUCUCAAAGCAUACCAUCUAUCGUCGCACGGAUCCCAAAGCUCAACCUAUGUCCUCCAAUUCACACGCCCUCCCUCACGCCCGAGUUCAUUUUCUGCUUUCCUUGUUAGAGCCGCAACCGUCACAAUCCAACUCCCCUGUUUCCACAACAUCCAAACACGGCCCCAGAUAUCUCUCUGUUAAACUAAAUCCAAACCAGCAGCAUCCAUCCAUGAAUCCGAUUCCAACCACUGCCAGCAGCUCCCCUGUUACGAGUAUCCCAUUUGCAUCUUUCCGAAUCUCCCAACCAUCCCUCAAUCAGCCGAGAUCCUCUCGGUUCAUGGAUUGAAUUCCAUCUCUCAGCCGAGACCCUCUCAGUUCACGCUCACAUCCCGACCAUUUUCCGAACUGAUUCCAUGAUAAACUUCCAUAGCCUUUAUCCCGUAUCCACCGUUCCAACUCCUCUGUCCCAGCUACAACUUUAUCCCGAAUGAAUCCCAACCAUUUCCUUCCGUGAACUAACUCAUAUCUUUCCCAACGGCAUCUUAAUCUUAUCCUCCCAUGAUCCCAUACUUUCGUGUCCCUUCCCUUCCGGAUUCCUCCCAUCCGCGUGUCUUCCCUCUUC
rnacentral:lncRNA from 1 species